rnacentral:rRNA from 1 species
CCUACGGGGGGCUGCAGUGGGGAAUAUUGGACAAUGGGGGGAACCCUGAUCCAGCCAUGCCGCGUGUGUGAAGAAGGCCCUCGGGUUGUAAAGCACUUUCAGUGAGGAAGAACGCCUGGUGGUUAAUACCCAUCAGGAAAGACAUCACUCACAGAAGAAGCACCGGCUAACUCCGUGCCAGCAGCCGCGGUAAUACGGAGGGUGCGAGCGUUAAUCGGAAUUACUGGGCGUAAAGCGCGCGUAGGUGGCUGGAUAAGCCGGUUGUGAAAGCCCCGGGCUCAACCUGGGAACGGCAUCCGGAACUGUCAAGCUAGAGUGCAGGAGAGGAAGGUAGAAUUCCCGGUGUAGCGGUGAAAUGCGUAGAGAUCGGGAGGAAUACCAGUGGCGAAGGCGGCCUUCUGGACUGACACUGACACUGAGGUGCGAAAGCGUGGGUAGCAAACAGGAUUAGAUACCCGGGUAGUC